UAUUUGCAGUGAAAAAGUCGAAAAAGUGCUGUUUUUGUGCUCCAGAUGCAUCUAGAUGUCAUGCAAAAACCGCCGCAGUGUUCGUGGUGAUGCCCAGAAAAUACCGUUAAAAAUAAAUGUUGAGACUGCAAAGAAAAUGUGGGCUGUGUUAUGUCAAGGGAUGUCUCUGGGGCUCUGCCGGAAGUAUAGACGAAUGCAACCGCUGCUCGAUAAGUGAUCCAAUCCAAGAAUCCAUAACAACAAGACUGUAAUUAAGGAACUGCUCUCGUCAGGCAAGGCAAAAACAUCAAAUAGGAAGCAGGAGAUGAAGUAAUACUAAUUCCCUGUGUAAGAACCCUCAAGAAAGGCUUGGCUGUAUUCCACAUCGGAAAGAACUACAAUUUCUGAAAAUGGCCACAUGCUGAGAUAGGGAUUUCUUUCAUGAUCAACUUAAAAAAAAACAAUUAAAUCUUAUAUGAAAUAAAA